UUCAGUAAAAUGAGGAGUUAUGUAGGAGAUGUUCAAAAUUCAUCCUUGUUUCCCGUCUUUCCCCAAUCUCUGAUAUCAGCACCGCCCAGCUCCGUCACCUCACACGACGCCGUUCCUCAAUGGCUUCGCAAUUCUAGCUUCACAACCGAUAUCUCCGUCAUAAACAACGAACUACGGUAAUAUCGAGAAUCUAGAAGACGAAGAAGGAUAUGAUACAGUAAAGGAAAAUGAAAUAGGAGAGGGAGCAAGGUAUGAGUUGCUGGACUCGUUCGCGUCGGAGCGGGGCCACAUUAUGACUAUACACUUUCUUCUUCUAGAAAAUGUGAUGUUCGAACUUGGGCUUCUUUUUCAGCUAAUACUAAUGUUUAAAGACUAGUAUUUAACUCUCGUGGCGAUCGAGACAAUUUAGCUUUUGGUACUCUCUACAGGUUUGGUGGGCAACGUCAACAGAAAACAAGAAGCUAGAACCACUAUCAGAAAUAUGGAACAGUCCUAGCCUGCGUAUAGUGCUGAAUGCAGAAUUGCAAGAUUGUAAACUCUAUUCUGUUAGUCACUGGAGUGGUGGCGAGGGCAACACGGUUUGAAGCAAUAUUUGCUUAUUCUAUUUCUUGAAGUGAUUCCAUACUCUGUUAGGAAACAACUUGGUCAGCAGACAAAUAAGGCACGAAAUAUCUAUAUGACUUGUUAGGGGGAAAUAGUUCUAAAAUAAGACAUUAAAUUUGAAAGGACUAGCUAAUCUUGGCCUUCAGUAUCCUUUAGGACAUAGAAACAACAAAUAAACUACAAAAUUGAACUGAAACUAAGUGGUGCCUUCAUUAAUAAGUCGUCUAAGCUCAUCUAACGUUGCAGUAAUAGCUAACAGAUGUUUUCUGUGGACUGUGUUUGAGAUUGUCUUAUGGACACUGGCUAACGUUGGUUGGAAGGAGCACAGGUAACUAUUAAUGAUGUAGUCUUUGUUUAAGACACCAGCACUUUUAUACCCAUUGAUCUCAGAAUCAUACACAUACAAAUGUCGAAGCUGUUUUAGGCGACGAUCUUCUAGGAGAAGCACAUGUUUGCUGUCAAUCCAGAUAGGGAAAACCAUCAAAAAGGUCAUGCCUCUUAAUGAAGUUGUCCAAAGUGUGGGAAAUUCUCCAAUUGCUGCUUACAUAAUCAUAAGUAGCAAUGAUUAUGGAUUUCUUGAAAACGCAAACAAGAGUAAGUAAACCUUGUGCCACCCCUAACCAUGUAUCAAAAUCGGGACUAAUUUUACCAUUGAUGGGAUCAUGAUGACUGAUCAUGAACUCAGGAAGGUCAAGAAUCGUAGCCUUUUCUUUUUUUGUAUUAAAAACAAUAACACGACCAUCAGUUCUUAGCCUAUACAAGGAAUCAUUCACGUAAACAGGUUUAAUACGGAGAGUCAAAUUGCUGAAAGUCACUCUAAAAUGGACUUCAUGCCACACACCAGAUCGCGCGGGUGAAAAUACAAAAAAUUGAUACCCUUGUUUAGCCAGCUUCACAAUGAUUACCAGUUUAUAUUGAUCUGAAGUGGGGUAAUCAACGGCUAAGCCUGCAUUACAAAAAAUCAUAAACUCAUCUAUAGGUUUUGGGUAUGAUAUCAAUUGGUGCGCUCCAGUUAUAGGAUUGAAAACACAGAAAUUCCUACACCUAUAAAAGUCAAGGAGAAGUAGACCCCUGCAUGAUGUCAAAACUAGGGGAAAGGUAAAAAAGAUGUCUCAUAGUGAGUGGUUGGGAAAGGAGGGUUUAUGGAGAUUUUGUGGAAGUGUUUGGGUACAUAUGAAUCAUAGAUGAAUAGUGUUGAAGAAAUCUUUUGAUGUGGAAAUCAAAUUUGAGAAAAUUUAA